rnacentral:misc_RNA from 1 species
UACGAAUGGGGCAAGCGUUGUUCGGAAUCACUGGGCUUAAAGCGUGCGUAGGCGGACUAACAAGUCAGGAGUGAAAUCCCGGGGCUCAACCCCGGAACUGCUUCUGAAACUGUAAGUCUAGAAUCCGGGAGAGGUGAGUGGAAUUCCUAGUGUAGAGGUGAAAUUCGCAGAUAUUAGGAGGAACACCAGUGGCGAAGGCGACUCACUGGACCGGUAUUGACGCUGAGGCACGAAAGCGUGGGGAGCAAACAGG